rnacentral:rRNA from 1 species
AUUGAACGCUGGCGGCAUGCUUUACACAUGCAAGUCGAACGGCAGCGCGGGCUUCGGCCUGGCGGCGAGUGGCGAACGGGUGAGUAAUGCAUCGGAACGUGCCCAGUAGUGGGGGAUAGCCCGGCGAAAGCCGGAUUAAUACCGCAUACGACCUGAGGGUGAAAGCGGGGGACCGAAAGACCUCGCGCUAUUGGAGCGGCCGAUGUCGGAUUAGCUAGUUGGUGGGGUAAAGGCUUACCAAGGCGACGAUCCGUAGCUGGUCUGAGAGGACGACCAGCCACACUGGGACUGAGACACGGCCCAGACUCCUACGGGAGGCAGCAGUGGGGAAUUUUGGACAAUGGGGGCAACCCUGAUCCAGCCAUGCCGCGUGCGAGAAGAAGGCCUUCGGGUUGUAAACCGCUUUUGUUCGGGAAGAAAUCCUCUGGGCUAAUACCCCGGGGGGAUGACGGUACCGGAAGAAUAAGCACCGGCUAACUACGUG